rnacentral:rRNA from 1 species
CUGCGGAAGGAUCAUUAUCGAACGCGCCGAGGGGACUGUCGCGCAAAUGCUGCAUGCACGUCCUCUCGUCUUCCACACACACACCUCGUGCACUCAUGUCGUCGUUCAUGUUUUCACACCACGACGUAUGGAAUGAAUGUCGGAUACCAUGACAACUUUCAGCAACGGAUCUCUUGGCUCUCGCAUCGAUGAAGAACGCAGCGAAUCGCGAUAUGUAAUGUGAAUUGCAGAUUUCCAGUGAAUCAUCGAAUCUUUGAACGCACCUUGCGCUCUCCGGUACUCCGGAGAGCAUGCCUGUUCGAGUGUCAUUCGAAUUCUCAACCGUGUCUCGGCACGGCUUGGAUGUUGGGAGCUGCUGGCGUCCUCUGUUUGGGACGUCGGCUCUCCUCAAACGCAUGUUGGGGGACGUGCGCACGGCCUCGUUCGACGUGAUACUACGGAUCGUCGUCGUUUCUGGGGCUGGCAACCACCCCACCCACCACCUUGCUCAGGCCCGCUCAGGCCCGACCCAGACACCUUGACCUCGAAUCAGGUAGGACUACCCGC